rnacentral:rRNA from 1 species
UACGUAGGGGGCGAGCGUUGUCCGGAGUUACUGGGCGUAAAGGGCGCGCAGGCGGUCUGGCAAGUUUGGAGUGACAGUGCUCGGCUUAACUGAGCAAGGCCUUCGAAAACUAUCAGACUUGAGCACUCAAGAGGGACAUAGAAUUCCGGGUGGAGUGGUGAAAUGCGUAGAUAUCCGGAGGAAUACCAAAGGCGAAGGCAGUGUCCUGGGGAGUGUCUGACGCUCAGGCGCGAAAGCUAGGGGAGCGAACAGG